GGGUGCUUGAGACUAUUCGUCUUGGGCAUUGUGUGGCAAGGCGGAUAGAUGAAAGCCCCAAUAUAUCUAGAUGAUUGAAGAACACUCUUGGAAAUCACAGUUCCAGUUCGAUAUCGGUCAGUGGCAUGCAGCAGCAAGGCAGG
rnacentral:antisense_RNA from 1 species